rnacentral:rRNA from 1 species
CCGUUUUAAUGAGAGUUUGUAACUCUCUUUUUUGUUUUUAGAGACAAUAAAACUUCAGAUCCGUAAAACUUAAUUGAAUUACUAAUCUGAAGUUAUUUUUAUAUCGUUUAUAUUAUAAUUGUGUUAUUUUACUUCCAACUAUUGAGAGAAAUUUCGCCACUAUUUAGCCAGAUUUCUUUUCCGUUAUCACAUUGAAUUAAAAGUUUUCCAUUUUCUGAGAUGUCUUUAGCAAGUCCCUUGUAGUCUUUUUGCUCUAGUGUGAAAGUGACUUCUUUUCCUAGAAUGAAUGACUGUUUUUUGUAUAGGUAUAAUAGCUCUUCUGCUGGUGUUUCGAAGAAAGCACGCCAGAUUUCUAUGAUCAAUUCAUUCCUUGUUAUAGGAGCUGUAGCUUUAAAUAAGCUGGCAGCUUUUUCUUUUAAUUCCUGAGGGAAGUCUUUAAUAGUGAAAUUGAUACCUACUCCAAUAAUGAUAUCUGUGACUAAGCCAGUUUCUACAGAGGUCAUUGCUUCAGUAAGGAUUCCUCCAAUUUUAUGAUUGUUUAGAUAGAUAUCAUUGACCCAUUUUAUGUCGACAUCUAUUAAAGUUAGGUUCUUAANGUGCCUUUUGUAGAAUGAACCGGCGAGUUACGAUCCCGUGCGAGGUUAAGCUGAAGAGGCGGAGCCGCAGCGAAAGCGAGUCUGAAUAGGGCGUUUAGUACGUGGUCGUAGACCCGAAACCAGGUGAUCUACCCAUGUCCAGGGUGAAGUUCAGGUAACACUGAAUGGAGGCCCGAACCCACGCACGUUGAAAAGUGCGGGGAUGAGGUGUGGGUAGCGGAGAAAUUCCAAUCGAACCUGGAGAUAGCUGGUUCUCCCCGAAAUAGCUUUAGGGCUAGCCUUAAGUGUAAGAGUCUUGGAGGUAGAGCACUGAUUGGACUAGGGGUCCUCAUCGGAUUACCGAAUUCAGUCAAACUCCGAAUGCCAAUGACUUAUCCUUAGGAGUCAGACUGCGAGUGAUAAGAUCCGUAGUCAAAAGGGAAACAGCCCAGACCGCCAGCUAAGGUCCCAAAGUGUGUAUUAAGUGGAAAAGGAUGUGGAGUUGCUUAGACAACUAGGAUGUUGGCUUAGAAGCAGCCACCAUUUAAAGAGUGCGUAAUAGCUCACUAGUCGAGUGACUCUGCGCCGAAAAUGUACCGGGGCUAAAUACACCACCGAAGCUGCGGAUUGAUACCAAUGGUAUCAGUGGUAGGGGAGCGUUCUAAGGACAGUGAAGUCAGACCGGAAGGACUGGUGGAGUGCUUAGAAGUGAGAAUGCCGGUAUGAGUAGCGAAAGACGGGUGAGAAUCCCGUCCACCGAAUGCCUAAGGUUUCCUGAGGAAGGCUCGUCCGCUCAGGGUUAGUCAGGACCUAAGCCGAGGCCGACAGGCGUAGGCGAUGGACAACAGGUUGAUAUUCCUGUACCACCUCUUUAUCGUUUGAGCAAUGGAGGGACGCAGAAGGAUAGAAGAAGCGUGCGAUUGGUUGUGCACGUCCAAGCAGUUAGGCUGAUAAGUAGGCAAAUCCGCUUAUCGUAAAGGCUGAGCUGUGAUGGGGAAGCUCCUUAUGGAGCGAAGUCUUUGAUUCCCCGCUGCCAAGAAAAGCUUCUAGCGAGAUAAAAGGUGCCUGUACCGCAAACCGACACAGGUAGGCGAGGAGAGAAUCCUAAGGUGUGCGAGAGAACUCUGGUUAAGGAACUCGGCAAAAUGACCCCGUAACUUCGGGAGAAGGGGUGCUUUCUUAACGGAAAGCCGCAGUGAAUAGGCCCAAGCGACUGUUUAGCAAAAACACAGCUCUCUGCGAAGCCGUAAGGCGAAGUAUAGGGGGUGACACCUGCCCGGUGCUGGAAGGUUAAGGAGAGGGGUUAGCGUAAGCGAAGCUCUGAACUGAAGCCCCAGUAAACGGCGGCCGUAACUAUAACGGUCCUAAGGUAGCGAAAUUCCUUGUCGGGUAAGUUCCGACCCGCACGAAAGGUGUAACGAUUUGGGCACUGUCUCAACCAGAGACUCGGUGAAAUUAUAGUACCUGUGAAGAUGCAGGUUACCCGCGACAGGACGGAAAGACCCCGUGGAGCUUUACUGUAGCCUGAUAUUGAAUUUUGGUACAGUUUGUACAGGAUAGGCGGGAGCCAUUGAAACCGGAGCGCUAGCUUCGGUGGAGGCGCUGGUGGGAUACCGCCCUGACUGUAUUGAAAUUCUAACCUACGGGUCUUAUCGACCCGGGAGACAGUGUCAGGUGGGCAGUUUGACUGGGGCGGUCGCCUCCUAAAGUGUAACGGAGGCGCCCAAAGGUUCCCUCAGAAUGGUUGGAAAUCAUUCGUAGAGUGCAAAGGCAUAAGGGAGCUUGACUGCGAGACCUACAAGUCGAGCAGGGACGAAAGUCGGGCUUAGUGAUCCGGUGGUUCCGCAUGGAAGGGCCAUCGCUCAACGGAUAAAAGCUACCCCGGGGAUAACAGGCUUAUCUCCCCCAAGAGUCCACAUCGACGGGGAGGUUUGGCACCUCGAUGUCGGCUCAUCGCAUCCUGGGGCUGUAGUCGGUCCCAAGGGUUGGGCUGUUCGCCCAUUAAAGCGGCACGCGAGCUGGGUUCAGAACGUCGUGAGACAGUUCGGUCCCUAUCCGUCGCGGGCGUAGGAAAUUUGAGAGGAUCUGCUCCUAGUACGAGAGGACCAGAGUGGACUUACCGCUGGUGUACCAGUUGUCUUGCCAAAGGCAUCGCUGGGUAGCUAUGUAGGGAAGGGAUAAACGCUGAAAGCAUCUAAGUGUGAAACCCACCUCAAGAUGAGAUUUCCCAUGAUUAUAUAUCAGUAAGAGCCCUGAGAGAUGAUCAGGUAGAUAGGUUAGAAGUGGAAGUGUGGCGACACAUGUAGCGGACUAAUACUAAUAGCUCGAGGACUUAUCCAA